rnacentral:tRNA from 10 species
ACCCGGAGCGAGGCCAUCGUGCAGCAAGGAGGAAUACCAGCUGAUGUCAGUCCGCCAGCCAAAACCAGGGAGGAGAAGCGGGAGCCAGCCCUCUGGAGUCGGGAGAAGGAAGAAGGUGCCACAGCUCUUCAGGACCACGGUUGGGAGAAAGAAUGGAGGGGUUUUAGAACCUUCAGUGUGCGACUUCAUGUGCCAGUCUUCAUCUCAGGAUCUCAAGCUCUUGGAUCAUGGGCACGGAUAACCUGUUGUCCUCCUCUAUGGUCAAGAGGCUGCUUUUGCAAAGAAUCCAGUGGGAGAGAGUCAAUGGCCUGCUUGACGUGAACUCCAAAGUCCUCCUGGCCAAGGGUCAUCCUGCCUGGAGCAGGGCAAGAGGUGACUUGACCCUUAGGAAGAGUGGCAUCUCUAAUCUUCAACUUCCACCACCACCACACACACAAAUGCAGAGCCACCCAGGAGGAAGUAAAAAGUGCUAGGGCCUUCUACACCUUGAAAUUAUAUGUGGAGCAUCCUGCAAUAAGCAUCUCUGUGAUGCACAGUCAUUCACACCUGCUGGUCUCUCCCCCAGCUGUCUGCAAAAUGAAGAGCAGAGCACAAGAGAACAUGUGAGAAAGAGGCAGGGUCGGGGAAGCCAGAAGUCCUGGCUGGCAGGGGCUGAUCCUUCCUAACUAGAGAGAGGAGACACACUUCUUGAGAGGGCAGGGAGAUAGCAGGGAGAACUAGAGGAGCUAUAGCCAGGGAGCCAGCUAAGGGAGGGAAGACAAAGGAGUGGAGACACAACUACUCCAUCUCUCCCCAGCCUCCUCAUCUCCAGAAUGAUGGCACACCUGGGAGGGGCCUGACUACCUUUCAGGGGGAAAAAUGGUCACUGGGCCUGGUGCGGUGGCUCAUGCCUGUCAUCCCAGCACUUUGGGAGGCCAAGGUGGGUGGAUAACCUGAGGUCAGGAGUUCGAGACCAGCCAGAACAACAUGGUGAAACCCCAUCUCUACUAAAAAUACAAAAAUUUGCUGGGCGUGGUGGUGCCUGCCUGUAAUCCAGCUACUUAGGAGGCUGAGGCAGGAAAAUCGCUUGAACCCGAAAGGCAGAGGUUGCAGUGUGCCGAGAUUAAGCCACUGAACUCCAGCCUGGGCAACAAGAGUGAAACUCUGUCUGAAGGAAAAAAAAAAAAAGCCAUUGGAGAAGACGGGGUCCUUCCAGAGAAGCUGAUCAAGUCAUAUUACUCAUCAACUGCUGGGGACCUAACAGUCACUACCAUGUAUUGAACACUUACUAUGGGCUGCAUAAUGUGCCUACUGACGCAUGUGCUGAAAGCUUUGCAUGUAUGUCUUAAAGCCACACCACUAUAACAUCAGAAUUAUCUUCUCCAUGUGUGAAAUGGGGAAACAGGAGGAGAAAGUUUACAAUCCCAGAGCUAGUAAUUGGCAGAGCCAGGAUUUAAACCCAGGAUAUCUUGAUGCUAAAGUUCAUGUCUUAACCAUUAUGAUUUAUCACCUCCUCUCACUGCAGAUCAGAAUACCAAUUUCUUACUGGGUCUGGAAAGGAGGAGAGAAGGAUAGAGAGUUUCUUCUAGGACCAAAUUGAUUCCUCCACAAAUAGGAAGAUCCCCAGACUGUGUGCACACACCCUCCUCCUCCUUCCUUCUCCAACCCUGGCUGGACCAUGACAUCACAUGGUGGAGGCUGUUUUUUAAAAAGAACUCAGGCCAGAUUUACAAGAAUGAUGCUCAGGCAGCGUGACUGUCAAGGACCGUGGCCAAGUGACCCAUAGCACACACCCAGCAGUGCUGAGAACAUAGCUAGUCCCUUAGCACCUGGGGCUGACUCAUGGUUGCUGUAGGACCCAAUGCCAGAUGCCAGGAUUGCUUUCUCCCUCCAUUCAUUAGGACUGUCCCAUGAAACCCUCCCCAGGAACCCUUCUACCCCAUCCCGGCAUGCCAGGAGCCUGGAUACUGCAUAACACAGGGUACUCAUAUUUGUUUACCAAGCCUUGAAGAUGACAGGCAAUAUGCUGAUAUGCUCAAUGCAUCAUACAAAUUGUUUUAUUUAAAACUGAACUAUUAAAUUAAGUAUCAUAGCAACUCACUUUACAGACAAGGAAACUGAAGCUCAAAGGUUAAGUAAGGGCCAGGCAUGGUGGCUCACUCCUGUAAUCCCAGCAGUUUGGGAGGCUGAGGUGGGAGGAGGAUUGCUUAAGCCCGCGAGUUUGAGACCAGCCUAGGCAAUAUAGGGAGACCCCAUCUCUACAAAAAAUUAUCUGGGCCUGGUGAUGUGUGCCUGUAGUCCCAGCUACUUGAGAGGCUGAGGUGGGAGGAUUGCUUGAGCCCAGAAGUUGAGGCUGCAGUGAGCCAUGAUCAUGCCAUUGUACUCCAGCCUGGGCAGCAAAGCAAAACCCUGUAUUGAAAACAAACAAACAGGCUGGGCACGGUGGCUCACACCUGUAAUCCCAACACUUUGGGAGGCCGAGGCAGGUGGAUCACCUGAGGUCAGGAGUUAGAGACCAGCCUGGCCAACAUGGUGAAACCCGCCUCUACUGAAAAUACAAAAAUUAGCAGGGCAUUGUGGCACAUGCCAAGGUGGGCAGAUCACCUGAGGUCAGGAGUUCGAGACCAGCCUGGCCAACAUGGUGAAACCCCAUCUCUACUAAAAAUACAAAAAUUAGCUGGGCGUGGUGGUGGGCGCCUGUAGUCCCAGCUACUCAGGAGGCUGAGGCAGGAGAAUCGCUUGAACCUGGGAGGUGGAGGUUGCAGUAAGCCAAGAUAGUGCCACUGCACUCCAGCCUGGGCGACAGACAAAAAAAAAAAAAAAAAGAAGUUGGAGCAGUGUGAAGAAGAGGUGAGAACAACCCCCGGACUGAUCAAAGCCCACAUGCCACUGCAUCCCGCGUCCAGCGCCUACAUCCUGCCACCGUCGCUGCCACCACCAUGCCCAAGAGAAAGGCUAAAGGGGAUGCUAAAGGAGACAAAGCCAAGGUGAAGGACGAACCAUAGAGAAGAUCCACAAGGUUGUCUGCUAAACCUGCUCCUCCAAAGCCACAGCCCAAGCCUAAAAAGGCCCCUGCAAAGAAGGGAGAGAAGAUACCCAAAGGGAAAAAGGGAAAAGCUGAUGCUGGCAAGGAGGGGAAUAACCCUGCAGAAAAUGGAGAUGCCAAAACAGACCAGGCACAGAAAGCUGAAGGUGCUGGAGUUGCCAAGUGAAGUGUGUGCAUUUUUGAUAACUGUGUACUUCUGGUGACUGUACAAUUUCAAAUACUAUUUUUUAUCAAGUUUUAUAAAAAUGCAGAAUUUUGUUUUACUUUUUUUUUAAGCUAUGUUGUUAACACACAGAACACUUCAUUGUUGUUUUUUGGGGAAGGGGCAUAUGUCACUAGUAGAAUGUCUCCAAAGCUGGAUUGAUGUGGGGAAAACACAUUUCCCUUCCAGUUUUGAAAGAUUUCCUCUUGGCUCCCAGGAGGAGGGAUUCCCUGACUUUGACACACAUGGCCACCUUGGCACAAAAGCCUUGUGGUAUGGAAAAACAAAUUCGUUUUUAUGUCCUCUUCUCCCUUUCCAUCCUUCAGCAUAGACUUAACUCCCUUAAGCCCAGACAUCUGUUGGGACCUGACCUCUAGUCAUUGGUUACCAGUGUGUCAGGCAAUCUGGAUUUUCCAGUGAUGCCGCUGAGAUGGCACCUGUCAAAAGAGUAGUGGUUCCAUUUCUAGAUUGUGGAUAUUCAGAUAAAUUCUGCCAUUUUCAUUUCACUUCAUGAAAGUCAGGUUCAGCCUGUGAAAAGUUGUUAAACAACAUGCUAAAUGUGAAAUGUCAACCCUCACUCUAAACUUUCCCUGUUCAGAGCAUCAGAUGAAGACUUCAGUGGCUUUCUGAUUUUUGGUAGUCCAUUGAAGAAGGGAGUUUGAAAGUUGUUGUAUACUGUUAACGAUUGUCUGCCCAUGUCCUGCCUGAAAUGCCAUGAUUGUUUAUGGAACGUAUCUUUAAUAAAGCUGGAUACAGCUUGAAAAAAAAAGAAGUCAACUUGCUACAGAGAAUUGAAUAGGAAAGAAUGAGGAAGAUUGGCUAGAAGGGCAACCUGACAGGGCCCCUCAGGGCACACAGGUCUUUCCCCACUCAGUACUGUCCCUCUCCUGAUUAUGCUUACUUUGUCUAUAGACAGUACCUUUUCACAUUCUUUCCUGCAAGACACAUUAACACAUUAGAUGGACAAUGAAAAAAAAAUACAUUAUUUUCUAGAUGAUAAGCAAGGAUCCAACAUAUGUUAAGCAAACAUGACACUAGUAACAUAUGGGUGUUUAACACAUGGGUGUGAUGUCUGUAAUGUGAGCAUAAGUAAUGUUACAAAAGGCAAUAUUUUCCUCAUCUGUAAAAUGGGGGUGAUAAUAAUAUCUGUAAGUUACAAGGUAUAAAGCACUUAAAGCACAACUUGGCCCAUAGUUAAUACUACAUUAUUCUUACUACUGCCUUAGUGCUUAAGAGCACACACUUUGGAGUCAAGUAAACCUGGGUUUGCAUCCCAGCUCCAUCGCUUAUUUGGCUGUAUCAGACUUUGUGCGACUGGGCAUGGUGGCUCACACCUGUAAUCCCAGCACUUUGGGAGGCUGAGCCAGGCGGAUUACCUGAGGUGAGGAGUUCAAGACCAGCCUGGCCAAUGUGGUAAAACCCUGUCUCUACUAAAAAUACAAAAAAUUAGCCAGGUGCAGUGGCACACACCUGUAAUCCCAGCUACUUGGGAGGCUGAGGCAGAAUUGCUUGAACCUGGGAGACGGAGGUUGCGGUGAGCCAAGAUUGCACCACUACACUCCAGCUUGGGCGACACAGCAAGACUUCGUCUAAAAAAAAAAAAAAGACUGUGUAAGUUACUUAACUCCUCUGAGCUUGUCAUCUUAUCUGCAAAAUGGGAUCACUAGCGUGUAUCUCGCUGAGCGGUACAGAUGAACUAUGUAAAGCAUUUGGCCCAAUGCCUGGCACUGCUAAGCAUGCAAUAAAUGGAAGUUACUAUCAUAAUGUGUAACACAUAUAAUUAUGACAAUUAUAUUUCCAAGAUAUUCUGGGAUCUUUACAGUUUCAUAAUUUUGCUCUUUUUACUAUACAACACUCCUUUUAUUGAAACAAAUACAGAUUUUGGAGUCAGACAGACCUAGUCUGGAUUUGAAUUCCAGCUCUCCUUCUUACCAGCCUGGGGCCAUGGAGAAUGUUGUCCAUUUCCCUGAGCCUCAGUGUUCUUCUCUGUAAAAUGUGGAUGAUACCUGACUCCCAGGCAUUUUGCCAGGAUUACAUGGGAUUCCUACACAGUGCAAUGUCUAGUGAUAAUAUAAAUACUAAAAGCAACUUGUUAAAUGUAUAAAUAAAUGUGAUUUAUUUUUGCUCCUUUACAUACAGUAUCAUGGAUAUAAUUUGUAGAUGUGUGUACUGUGAAUACAAUGGCCACUUCUCUUGCUCCCA